rnacentral:rRNA from 1 species
GUAGGUGGCAAGCGUUGUCCGGAAUUAUUGGGCGUAAAGCGCGCGCAGGCGGUCCUUUAAGUCUGAUGUGAAAGCCCACGGCUCAACCGUGGAGGGUCAUUGGAAACUGGGGGACUUGAGUACAGAAGAGGAAAGCGGAAUUCCAAGUGUAGCGGUGAAAUGCGUAGAGAUUUGGAGGAACACCAAUGGCGAAGGCGGCUUUCUGGUCUGUAACUGACGCUGAGGCGCGAAAGCGUGGGGAGCAAACAGGAUUAGAUACCCUGGUAGUCCACGCCGUAAACGAUGAGUGCUAAGUGUUAGGGGGUUUCCCGCCCCCCUUAGUGCUGCAGCUAACGCAUUAAGCACUCCGCCUGGGGAGUACGGCCGCAAGGCUG